rnacentral:siRNA from 1 species
AGAGUUAAGAGGUGAAUAUGUGU